rnacentral:tRNA from 2 species
GCCGAAGUGGUGGAAUUGGCAGACGCGCCGGACUCAAAAUCCGGUGGGGUAAAACCCGUGCGGGUUCGACUCCCGCCUUCGGCACCA